rnacentral:rRNA from 1 species
AGCCUACCAAGGCGACGAUCGGUAGCUGGUCUGAGAGGAUGAUCAGCCACAAUGGGACUGAGACACGGCCCAUACUCCUACGGGAGGCAGCAGUGGGGAAUUUUACGCAAUGGGCGAAAGCCUGACGUAGCGACACCGCGUGAACGAAGAAGCCUCUUGGGGUGUAAAGUUCUGUCAGCUGGAACGAAAAAAAUGACGGUACCAGCAGAGGAAGCAUCGGCUAACUACGUGCCAGCAGCCGCGGUAAGACGUAGGAUGCAAGCGUUGUCCGGAUUUAUUGGGCGUAAAGAGUUCGUAGGUGGUUUGUUAAGUUUGGUGUUAAAGAUUGGGGCUCAACCCUGAAACUGCACUGAAUACUGGCAGACUCGAGUGUGGUAGAGGCUAGUGGAAUUCCCAGUGUAGCGGUGAAAUGCGUAGAUAUUGGGAAGAACACCGGUGGCGUAGGCGACUAGCUGGGCCAUAACUGACACUGAGGAACGAAAGCCAGGGUAGCGAAUGGGAUUAGAUACCCC